rnacentral:rRNA from 1 species
GACGAACGCUGGCGGCGUGCCUAAUACAUGCAAGUCGAACGAGAGCGACCGGUGCUUGCACUGGUCAAUCUAGUGGCGAACGGGUGAGUAACACGUGGGUAACCUGCCCAUCAGAGGGGGAUAACAUCCGGAAACGGAUGCUAAAACCGCAUAGGUCUUCGAGCCGCAUGGCUUGAAGAGGAAAAGAGGCGCAAGCUUCUGCUGAUGGAUGGACCCGCGGUGCAUUAGCUAGUUGGUGAGGUAACGGCUCACCAAGGCCGUGAUGCAUAGCCGACCUGAGAGGGUGAUCGGCCACAUUGGGACUGAGACACGGCCCAAACUCCUACGGGAGGCAGCAGUAGGGAAUCUUCCGCAAUGGACGCAAGUCUGACGGAGCAACGCCGCGUGAGUGAAGAAGGUUUUCGGAUCGUAAAACUCUGCUGUUAGAGAAGAACAAGUGCUAGAGUAACUGUUAGCGCCUUGACGGUAUCUAACCAGAAAGCCACGGCUAACUACGUG